rnacentral:rRNA from 1 species
GCGGCGGACGGGUGAGUAACACGUGGGCAACCUGCCUGUAAGACUGGGAUAACUUCGGGAAACCGAAGCUAAUACCGGAUAGGAUCUUCUCCUUCAUGGGAGAUGAUUGAAAGAUGGUUUCGGCUAUCACUUACAGAUGGGCCCGCGGUGCAUUAGCUAGUUGGUGAGGUAACGGCUCACCAAGGCAACGAUGCAUAGCCGACCUGAGAGGGUGAUCGGCCACACUGGGACUGAGACACGGCCCAGACUCCUACGGGAGGCAGCAGUAGGGAAUCUUCCGCAAUGGACGAAAGUCUGACGGAGCAACGCCGCGUGAGUGAUGAAGGCUUUCGGGUCGUAAAACUCUGUUGUUAGGGAAGAACAAGUACGAGAGUAACUGCUCGUACCUUGACGGUACCUAACCAGAAAGCCACGGCUAACUACGUGCCAGCAGCCGCGGUAAUACGUAGGUGGCAAGCGUUAUCCGGAAUUAUUGGGCGUAAAGCGCGCGCAGGCGGUUUCUUAAGUCUGAUGUGAAAGCCCACGGCUCAACCGUGGAGGGUCAUUGGAAACUGGGGAACUUGAGUGCAGAAGAGAAAAGCGGAAUUCCACGUGUAGCGGUGAAAU